rnacentral:rRNA from 1 species
UGGGGAAUAUUGGACAAUGGGCGAAAGCCUGAUCCAGCCAUGCCGCGUGUGUGAAGAAGGUCUUCGGAUUGUAAAGCACUUUAAGUUGGGAGGAAGGGCAGUAAGCGAAUACCUUGCUGUUUUGACGUUACCGACAGAAUAAGCACCGGCUAACUCUGUGCCAGCAGCCGCGGUAAUACAGAGGGUGCAAGCGUUAAUCGGAAUUACUGGGCGUAAAGCGCGCGUAGGUGGUUCGUUAAGUUGAAUGUGAAAGCCCCGGGCUCAACCUGGGAACUGCAUCCAAAACUGGCGAGCUAGAGUAGGGCAGAGAGUGGUGGAAUUUCCUGUGUAGCGGUGAAAUGCGUAGAGAUAGGAAGGAACACCAGUGGCGAAGGCGACCACCUGGGCUCAUACUGACACUGAGGUGCGAAAGCGUGGGGAGCAAACAGG